rnacentral:tRNA from 1 species
GGGCGAUUAGCUCAGCUGGGAGAGCGCUGCGUUCGCAACGCAGAGGUCGAGAGUUCGAGCCUCUUAUCGUCCACCA